CUAUCUACCAAGUACAAAAUUGCAUCUUUUACAUAUAAUACAAAUUGAAUGUUCUAAUUUCCACAGCCUCAUUACCAAGGAGCAGCUGAUGGAUCCCUACAAUGUUGUUCGAAAUUUCAGUAGAAGCGCGGCAUAACUGUAUAAUCUGGAACUUUAGUGUGUUUUGAGGCUAAACUACACUAGACAGGCUUCUUUCUUGUCAACAAUGCAACAGCCACCUAAGUUAUUAAAAGAGGGCUCAACUUCAGCAGCCAAGAUGUAGCAAGAACUUUCAAACUCAGUCACAAAACCGAAAUCUGAACAGAAGAUCUGUUCUAGACAGGGGUUAGUGAAGAUGUUUAAAAUUUAUGUAUAAUUUGAUGUUUAGUACCACAAGAAUUGAAACUGAUGAGAUGUAGCCUUCCAGAGAAAUUAUGUUUUGGUUCACUGGCUCUCCUAAAUCGUCUAAUUGUUGCCUGUUGUACAGGGAUAACGAAGCUUUCUAAUGCAGAUCUCUUGAAUUUUGCUUUUGGUUGUGGUCAAGAUGUUGUCUUUGAUUUCAGUUCAGUUCCUAAGUUGAAGAGAUUUGUCAUUGGUGCAAACGAAAGACAGCUGCACUAUGUUUUCACUCGGUUGUCAAAACAUGUUCCCAGGAUGAGGAGUUUGACUGUCAAGACCAGGUUAUAUGCAUACCAGAAAGAAUCACCAUCUUCAAAGAUGUUGCGAAGUUAAUAGCAACACAGAAUUUGAUAUCUUGAAGAUGAUUGCUAUUCUUAGAGCCUUUCCCUCCCUGCAAAAGCUAUAUUUAGAGGUGAGGGAUGUGUGGUGCAAUUAUCCUCAAAAGGAUCCCUUUCUUUGGUUUGAGUCUAAUGCCGAGUUCACUUUUAGAGGCUCAGUUCAGAUUAGAAAUUUAAGACGAAGAGGAAGAAGAGGAAGAAGAGGAGAGGAGGGAGAAGAGCAUAUAUUUGUGAAGGAACUUCAUUAAAUGUUUAGGCUGGCUAACUUCUGACUCUACUUAAUGUCACUGCCUGUUCUAAUUGCAGACUUGUUCUUCAGAAGACAUGGGCCGAGGAAAGCUUGAGCAUAGUGAACAUGUCCAUAAGCAUCUGAAGCAAGUUGAAAUUGGUGGAUUUUAUGACACCUCAAACCAGAUUGGAUUCGCCAUUUACUUGUUGGAACAUGCUAUUUCCCUAGAGCGGAUGGUCAUCAAUCCUGUAGGGAAAUAUUGUUCUGCGUUGAGGCAGUCCUGGGAUGAAGGAGAACGUGAAAAGGCUUAUCGAAAACUGCAUGAACCUGACGAUCCACUGAAUGUAUCUGAAUCUUUAUGGGAUUCGGCAAUCAAGUUUAAACUGUUUAAUGUAUUAGGAUGUGCCCUUCCUUU